GCUAAAACUACAGGCAUAUGAUGGGAAAAGGCAUGGCAAAGUUUUCAUAUAGUUAGCUAAGUAGUGCAGCAGUAGCAAAAUCAAACAGGUUAAGACAUUGCUGAACUAUAUUUACAUUCUGUUACUGCACUUACUUUCCAGGGUUUUUAAUUAGUUCCUCCUAUUCAUUACCUGGGGUGUGUGGAAAAUUGUGAGGCUCAGUCAUACAGAAACUGCCUGACUACGGUAAAUGAAACAAUGAUGGGAACAUCACUCCAGAGGCUGUUCCUUCCUUCUUGCUGGAAGCCACCUGACCAUUGCCAGGAAGAGGAAUGCAAAACAUUCCCAGGAGCAGCUCCUGACGUCAGCAGAGCAUUUCAUCUCCCAAUGUUCAGAACGGUCUGGAAAUUCCAGUCUCUAGUAGAACUAAUUGAAUGCGAUAGCAGCUGUAGCCUGCAAUGAAUCACAUUAAAAACUGCUUCAUGUUAAGA